rnacentral:rRNA from 1 species
CCUACGGGCGGCAGCAGUGGGGAAUAUUGGACAAUGGGGGGAACCCUGAUCCAGCCAUGCCGCGUGUGUGAAGAAGGCCCUCGGGUUGUUAAGCACUUUCAGUGAGGAAGAACGCCUGGUGGUUAAUACCCAUCAGGAAAGACAUCACUCACAGAAGAAGCACCGGCUAACUCCGUGCCAGCAGCCGCGGUAAUACGGAGGGUGCGAGCGUUAAUCGGAAUUACUGGGCGUAAAGCGCGCGUAGGUGGCGUGAUAAGCCGGUUGUGAAAGCCCCGGGCUCAACCUGGGAACGGCAUCCGGAACUGUCAAGCUAGAGUGCAGGAGAGGAAGGUAGAAUUCCUGGUGUAGCGGUGAAAUGCGUAGAGAUCGGGAGGAAUACCAGUGGCGAAGGCGGCCUUCUGGACUGACACUGACACUGAGGUGCGAAAGCGUGGGUAGCAAACAGGAUUAGAUACCCCGGUAGUC